UACGUAGGGUGCAAGCGUUAAUCGGAAUUACUGGGCGUAAAGCGUGCGCAGGCGGCUUUGCAAGACAGAUGUGAAAUCCCCGGGCUUAACCUGGGAACUGCAUUUGUGACUGCAUGGCUGGAGUGCGGAAGAGGGGGAUGGAAUUCCGCGUGUAGCAGUGAAAUGCGUAGAUAUGCGGAGGAAUACCGAUGGCGAAGGCAAUCCCCUGGGCCUGCACUGACGCUCAUGCACGAAAGCGUGGGGAGCAAACAGG
rnacentral:rRNA from 1 species